GCGAGAAAUCAAACUUCGAACAGGACAAGCCCGAAGCCCGCUUCUCCGGGAGACGGGGUGCCACAAUUGCAAGGACCCUUGCUCCACAGAAUUCUUUGCCUGGAAUUUUCUUCCCAGAAUCUUUGCAUGUCAUUCCCUCUGUUGCUGAGUUACCGGGAUCUCAAUGUAAACGUUACGUACUGACAGAGGCUGCUGUGAACUGAAUUGCGUGCUUCCCAAAAUUCAUAUGUUGAUACUGUCACCCCCGGUACCUAAGGAUGUGACUACAUUUGGAGAUAGCAUCAUCAAAGAGGUAAUUAUAUUAAAAUGAGGUAUUUGGGGGUAGAGAUGAGGGAGUGGGGAGAUGGUCAAAUUAUACAAAAUUUCAGCUAGACAGGAGGAAUAAGGACAUCAGAUCUAUUGCAUUUGGUGACUACAGUUAAUGUAAUCUGUUCUUGAACAUUGCUAACACUGUAGAUUUUGAGUGCUCUCACAACAGAAAAAUGAUGGGUAUGUGCAGUAACACAUAUGCCAAUUAGCUUGGGUCAACCAUUCCACAAUGUAUGCAUAUUUAAAAACAGUUCCACAAAUGUAGACAAUUUUUAUUAGUUACUAGUUACAAUAAAAAAUGUUUUAAAAUGAUGACAUUAGGGUGGGCCCUGAUCCAAUCUAACUGAUGUCUCCAUACAAGAGGAGAUAAGGAUACAAAUGUGCACACACAGAGAAAUGACCACGUGAGGACACAAGGAGAAGGUGGCCACUUACAACCCUAGGAGAGAAGCCUUGGGGGCAACACACCCUGCCCACACCUUGACCCUGGACUUCAUCCCCCAGAUAAAGUCCUUCAUCCUCCAGAUAAAGUCCUUCAUCCUCCUUCAUCAUAUGGAACCUUCUGACCCUGAAUACUCUCCAAAUGCUGUAAUGUACCAAGGUGAAGGGACAGCAC
rnacentral:lncRNA from 1 species